UUGAGCUGUACGAGAUGAAAGUCUCAUAUACAGUUCUUAGGGGGGGGACAUUCCUUUUUCUACCCUUU
rnacentral:ncRNA from 1 species